rnacentral:rRNA from 1 species
CUACGGGUGGCACCAGUGAGGAAUCUUCCGCAAUGGGCGAAAGCCUGACGGAGCGACACCGCGUGAAGGAUGAAGGCCUUUUGGUUGUAAACUUCUUUUCUGGGGGAAUAAAUGAUGAAGGUACCCCAGGAAUAAGCACCGGCUAAUUACGUGCCAGCAGCCGCGGUAAUACGUAAGGUGCAAGCGUUAUCCGGAAUCAUUGGGCGUAAAGCGUUCGUAGGUGGCUUUAUAAGUUUGUGGUUAAAACUGGUCGCUCAACGAUCAGGUCGUCACAAAAACUAUUUAGCUAGAGAAUGAUAGAGGCAACUGGAAUUCCACAUGUAGGGGUAAAAUCCGUUGAUAUGUGGAGGAACACCAAAAGCGAAGGCAGGUUGCUGGGUCAUUUCUGACGCUGAGGAACGAAAGCGUGGGGAGCAAACAGGAUUAGAUACCCCGGUAGUC